AACGUAGGUACCGAGCGUUAUCCGGAUUUACUGGGCGUAAAGCGCGUUCAGGCGGUUUGACAAGUCGGGCAUGAAAUCUCUCGGCUCAACCGGGAGAGGUUGUCCGAUACUUUCAGACUUGAGGGCAGUAGAGGGUGGUGGAAUUCCGGGUGUAGUGGUGAAAUGCGUAGAUAUCCGGAGGAACACCAGUGGCGAAAGCGGCCACCUGGACUGCACCUGACGCUAAAGCGCGAAAGCUAGGGGAGCGAACGGG
rnacentral:rRNA from 1 species